rnacentral:rRNA from 1 species
UUCCUACGGGGGGCAGCAGUGGGGAAUAUUGCACAAUGGGGGAAACCCUGAUGCAGCGACGCCGCGUGAGUGAAGAAGUAUUUCGGUAUGUAAAGCUCUGUCAGCAGGGAAGAAAAUGACGGUACCUGACCAAGAAGCCCCGGCUAACUACGUGCCAGCAGCCGCGGUAAUACGGAGGAUGCGAGCGUUAUCCGGAUUUAUUGGGUUUAAAGGGUGCGUAGGCGGAUCGUUAAGUCAGUGGUCAAAUUGAGGGGCUCAACCCCUUCCCGCCAUUGAAACUGGCGCUCUUGAGUGGAAGAGAAGUA